CCGAAAGGCGGGAGUGCCCGCAAGGGAGCGCGGAGACAGGUGGUGCAUGGCUGUCGUCUGCUCGUGUCGUGAGAUGUUGGGUUAAGUCCCGCAACGAGCGCAACCCUCACCCCUUGUUGCUACCAGGUAAAGCUGGGCACUCUAGGGGAACUGCCCCGGUCAACGGGGAGGAAGGCGGGGAUGACGUCAAGUCAUCAUGCCCCUUACGUCCUGGGCUACACACGUGCUACAAUGGCCGGUACAAAGGGAUGCAAGACCGCGAGGUGGAGCUAAACCCAAAAAGCCGGUCUGAGUUCAGAUUGGAGUCUGCAACCCGACUCCAUGAAGGAGGAAUCGCUAGUAAUCGCGCAUCAGCACGGCGCGGUGAAUACGUUCCCGGGCCUUGUACACACCGCCCGUCACACCACGAAAGCCAG
rnacentral:rRNA from 1 species